rnacentral:rRNA from 1 species
GGGUGGAAAGGUUUACUGGCCCAGGAUCGCUCAAGGCCUAUCAGCUUGUUGGUGGGGUAAUGGCCUACCAAGGCGACGACGGGUAGCCGACCUGAGAGGGUGACCGGCCACACUGGGACUGAGACACGGCCCAGACUCCUACGGGAGGCAGCAGUGGGGAAUAUUGCACAAUGGGCGAAAGCCUGAUGCAGCGACGCCGCGUGAGGGAUGACGGCCUUCGGGUUGUAAACCUCUUUCAGCGCCGACGAAGCGUAAGUGACGGUAGGCGCAGAAGAAGCACCGGCCAACUACGUGCCAGCAGCCGCGGUAAUACGUAGGGUGCAAGCGUUGUCCGGAAUUACUGGGCGUAAAGAGCUCGUAGGCGGUUUGUCGCGUCGUCUGUGAAAACUCGUAGCUCAACUACGGGCGUGCAGGCGAUACGGGCAGACUCGAGUACUGCAGGGGAGACUGGAAUUCCUGGUG